rnacentral:rRNA from 1 species
CCUACGGGUGGCAGCAGUGGGGAAUAUUGCACAAUGGGGGAAACCCUGAUGCAGCGACGCCGCGUGAGUGAAGAAGUAUUUCGGUAUGUAAAGCUCUAUCAGCAGGAACGAGACAAGACGGUACCUGACUAAGAAGCACCGGCUAACUACGAGCCAGCAGCCGCGGGAAUACGUAGGGGGCAAGCGUUAUCCGGAAUCACUGGGUGUAAAGGGAGCGUAGACGGCUGGGCAAGCCUGAAGGGGAAGGCGGGGGCCCAACCCCUGGACUGCUUUGGGUACUGGACGGCUGGAGUGCAGGAGAGGUAAGUGGAAUUCCUAGUGUAGCGGUGAAAUGCGUAGAUAUUAGGAGGAACACCAGUGGCGAAGGCGGCUUACUGGACUGUAACUGACGUUGAGGCUCGAAAGCGUGGGGAGCAAACAGGAUUAGAUACCCUUGUAGUC